UACGUAGGGUGCAAGCGUUAAUCGGAAUUACUGGGCGUAAAGCGUGCGCAGGCGGUUUUGUAAGUCUGACGUGAAAUCCCCGGGCUUAACCUGGGAAUUGCGUUGGAGACUGCAAGGCUAGAAUCUGGCAGAGGGGGGGUAGAAUUCCACGUGUAGCAGUGAAAUGCGUAGAGAUGUGGAGGAACACCGAUGGCGAAGGCAGCCCCCUGGGUCAAGAUUG
rnacentral:rRNA from 1 species